UACGUAGGGGGCUAGCGUUGUUCGGAAUUACUGGGCGUAAAGCGCACGUAGGCGGCUUUGCAAGUUAGAGGUGAAAGCCCGGGGCUCAACUCCGGAAUUGCCUUUAAGACUGCAUCGCUAGAAUUGUGGAGAGGUAAGUGGAAUUCCGAGUGUAGAGGUGAAAUUCGUAGAUAUUCGGAGGAACACCGGUGGCGAAGGCGGCUCACUGGCUCGGUACUGACGCUGAGGUGCGAAAGCGUGGGGAGCAAACAGG
rnacentral:rRNA from 1 species